GGGGCGCAGGGGUUGGCGAGCGGAGGUUGUAGGCAUCAGCGGUGCUGGAGGUGAGCACGACGAGAUGGCCCUCCGGCUUCAAGAUCCGCGCGGCCUCACCGACAAGGUCGGCCAGACGCUUUAACGAAUCGAGGGCGAGGCCGACGAAGACCAGGUCGAUGACGGCCGGUGAAGACGACUUCGACGGAGGAGUCGGAGAUCGGCAGUCGGCGUUCGUCGCAGGCGAUAGCGAGCGAGCGGGAGCGCCUCUUUGCGAUGGCGACGGGCCCGGUCAGUCUGAGAUCCCGCAGCACGAGCGCCUCCUAGGGAGGUUACUCACCAGCGACCUCGAGUGAUGCAGCUGGCCGAGAGGGCGGGGCGUGCUGGCGCAGAGGCGGAUCUCGGCGGCGCCCGCGCGACAUGGGUGGAGAGAUUUUUCUUCGUGCGAAUGCGGGGCUGCGGUUGGUUUUCGGAGGGUAAAUAAAAAAAGGGACGACGUGGGUGGGAGGUAGCGAUAGGAGAGGUG
rnacentral:lncRNA from 1 species